CCUCUGGGUAAGCCUUGCACACUCUUUGCAUGUUUGCUGAUGCCUCGGGCCCCACUGCUGCCCCGAGUCUUCCCACUACCCAAGGUCAAGGCUGGCCUCCACCUUCUGCACACACAGCGGCCGCCUACUCCAGCCAAGGUGGCAGAUCCUUUCUGGGAAACCCUGAGGAACCAGUUACAGUGCCUGCUUCCUCACCAAGGUUCCAUGGAAAGUCAUAUAACCUUUCGCGUUUCGUAAACAAGCUGCGGGUUGAACACGCAGUUACAGCCCCAAAUGUAUGCAAUCCGACAAGCUGAAUCGGCCAUCUGAAUGAAUCAGAAGUCACGCGGCCGACGUUCUAUUUAGCAGCAUCCAGAACUCACGCAUCCCUUGCCACUGAACAGGCACCACUGUCAGAGGGUUUAUGCAGCCCCUUGGCACACAGGAGACAGGAAGUGAGUCAACAACUCACUGAAUCCACGAGGUGGAGGGGCCGGCUGAAAUCACCUCAUCUCUCCCUUCACUUUGCAGCAGACAAAGCGAAGGCUCAAAUGGAUUGAACGGAUCUUACAGAUUAAGGUGAGAUAGGCAGGAGCUGCAGUGCCACUUUGUCUCUUGUCACCUAGAAGGUGUGAUGUCUAUGAUGACCUGCAAAAGUAUGCAACACUGGCAGGAAGAAAAGAAUGCUCCCCAACGUUUCUGCUCUGGUCAGCGUCACUGGUCGCCUUCUGAUUGCCAAGGCCGUCUACAGAUGUGAAGACUCGAGGAGGUCCCACAGAUAAACAGAAGAGCUAACAAUUCUAACAGGUACAUCCCUGGCUCCAAAUAAAUGGUCAUCUCGCUACACUGAAGGUACCAUCCCAGCGUAUACCGCGUUUCUGCAGUUAUCAUUUAUUGACUAGGAGUCGGGAGCUCUGCUAGACACAUGGAUCCUCUGGUUAAAAAAAAUUAGCAGGUGCUCUAUUUCUACCAACUGACUUCAGUUGGGCCUGAAUAUGUGUUUCCUCAGGGACAGAAAUUUCGUGAAGUGACUGGCAGCAUCAUUCACCAAUCCUGGAGCCUGAGACCUCACUGAUCAUAAUUUAAUCCAGAUGGUGAUGAAUGUGCACCAGCCCUUGAACAACUAUGAGAUGGCCUUAGCAUCUAGUGUCACCCUCUGCUCACCACCUACACAUCCUCCUGGGAGCUCAAGUUAUGGAAGAGCAACCAUCAGCAGGUGAACAUAGAUGUAUAUCUCAGCUCCAACCUGACCCUGACACUGCAACUUCCAUCCUCUCUUCUCUUCUACUUGAGUGCAGAGAAUUACCUCCAACCAAACAUGGACCUAACAAACCCUCAGUUGCCCCUCUUCCCCAAAUCUGCUUCCUGCCUGAGUCCUCCCCAUAACAGCUAGAGUCAUUUUGGCUUCUCUAAUUCCCCCACCUGCCACUCUACACCAUCAGUAAACCCUGUCCUAACCCUGUCCUAUGGAUCACACACCUGGCCCCCUCUCACCUCCAUGGCUGCAAUCCCACGUGAAGCCGCUUCCGCUCUCCCCUGGACUCAGCAGAAGCCUAUCUAGUCGGGGUCUUGGGGCUUUCACGCUUGCCUCCCCUGCAACAAAGCCUAUUACCUACGUUACAACCAGAGCAAUCUUUGUAAAGAGACUAAACAAGUCAAACUCAGAGAAGCAGAGAGUAGAAUUGGCUGCCAAGGGCUGGGGAGUGGGAGAAACAGGGAGAUAUUGAUCAGGGGGUACAAAGGUUCAGUUAUGCAGGCUGGAUACGUUCUGGAAAUCUAAUGGACAGCAUGGUGGCUAUCGUUAAUAAUACCAUAUUGUGUGCUUGAAAUGUGCUAAGAGAGUAGAUCUGAAAUGUCCUCACCACACACACACACACACACACACACAAAGGUAACUAGGUGACGUGAUGCAUAUGCUCAUUAGUUUGACUGUGAUAAUCAUUUCACAAUGUGUACAUAUAUCAAAACAUCACGCUGCAGUUUGUCCUAAUGAUAUGGUAUGUUUAUAUGAUUUCCUAAUACUGGAGCACCUUUGCAUUACAGGCCUAACUAUAACUAAAUCAAGGCAGAUUGUUAUUUAUUACAACUGAUUAAUUCACUUUACUAAGAUCUUAAGUCAGUUGUGAUUUUGUAUUACCGUUUUUAGGUUUUGUUAUCGAAGUUAUGUAAGUUUCAUAAAAUUGUUUAGAUAAUUUUCCAAUAAAAUUUCCACCUUAUUUGCUCUUAAAAAAAACCCCAAAAAACACAUCAUGUUGUACGCUGUAAAUAUAUGCAAUUUUUAUUUGUCAACUGUACCUCAAUACAGCUAGAAACAAAGAAUCAACGAAAAUAAAACAUCUGUAUUCUUUAAAGGGUUGUCCCCACCCACUUCUGCACCUUCCCCAGCACUCCCAUGCGCCGUGCUGGGGCCAUGCACACGCAUACACGCAUCUCUCUGGUAUUUUCGCCCACCCAGCUCAUCACCUUUCAGAUGCCACUUGCUGGUCCUUAGGUCCAGAGGUUGUUUCUCUAAGUCCUUCCAAGGGGCCUUCUUCUCAUUACUCAGGUGUCCUUCAAUGUCACCUCCUCAGAAAGACCUCCCCAAUCAGGCCAGCUGAAGCACAGCCUCUUCCCCUCUACCAGAUUCCUCUACGUUCACUUCUUCAAGUCACUCAAAACUACGUGAAAUCACUCAGCUGAUGUAUCUGUUUAUGGCCUGUUUAACCCACAAGAAUAUCAGAACUGGAGGACUGAGCCUGGGUCUUGCUUGCUGGAUGUCCCCAGGGCCCAGAAGACAGUAUGAUAUUAAGUAUUAUAGACUGACCGACUAGAUCCUAGAGGCGAUAGAAACCAAGACAGCCUUGAACUAAGUGAUGGAAAAAUCACUGUAAAGGCCUGGAUACUUUCUGCCAGUGCCACUGAGGAGUGCUCACGGCAAGUUUCAGGGGCGUUUCCAUGGAAAACUACAAGUUCCCUCCCAAGGAAUCAAUCUAUUAGGUGAGAUUUCAGGAGAACAAGUCAACGAAGACCAUGAAUUAGCUGCCACAGAAACAUCGAACGAUUAGCACAUAAUGCAACGCGGGGACACGCAGACGUGCUGUGAACACAUGGUGUUUUAUUCUUCAAUUCAUUAGCCUGAAACGUGGAAAGGUCAUUGAGGACAUUACAAUAAAGGUCUCCCCAACUGUGUUAAAUUCUGCACUUCAAAAUAUUAAAAGCUAUGUGAUGGUGGAUAUGUUAAUGGAAACACAAAAAGAAUGAUUCCUAAAUACAAGUCCAGGAAAAGCAAUGACAGAUUGCAUCAAUUUGGCACGCUGUUCCUUAACAGUAAAGGGGGCUAAACACCACUGUAGGAUGCCUGCUUGCUUGAUUUUGCCUUGUGAAAAUUAAGAACUACCUAUGGUACCCCUCAGCCCACAAUGUCCCGGUGACCCGCCCUGCCCAUCACCGCUAGUUUGGGAGAGGCAGCAUUGCAGAGAUGAAACAUAGACACUGGACUCAGACCACCUGGGUUCCAAUUAGCUCCAACAAUAACCUUAUGUCUCAGGUUCCAUUAUCUGUCAUAUGGAGAUAAAAACCCAUAGCUUAAGAUUAUAUGAGUUAAUUUGAAAGAGCAUAGAAAAUUCCCUAGCGAUUAGGAAGCACUAAAAAAGUUUUAAUAAGUAAGAGCUAUUUAAAAAAAUGCUUCUUAAAUCUUGCAGGAAAAGAAAAUCUCUAACCACCAAAUUAGUGUCUUCCUACAAAGAGAUGAUAAAAUCAGUUCACUGUUUAAAAAGAGCUGUGAUGGUGGGUGGCCUCAGCCUUAGGAAAAUUCCACAUCUCCCCAGGAAGCUUGUAAAAGAACAUUCAUAGCAGCAUUUUUCAUAAUAGCAAAGACCCAGAAAUAAUACAGGUGUCCACUAAGAGAAUGGAAAAUUUUAUGGUAUAUCAUAUCACGGGGAAAAUGGAUGGACACCAGCUACAUACAACAUAAACAGAUAAUGGAAACAUCACAGUGAGAGAAAAAGUCAAGAAUAAUAUAUAAUAUAGUAAAUCACUAUUUAUUGCAAAUAGACAAAGAAGCAAAACUAAACAAUAAAUUGAAUUUGUUAAGACUAUAUUUAAACACAAUAUUGUAAAUCAAUUAUAUUUCAAUUUUACAAAGAUAAUAAAUAUCAUGGAAACAUGUUUUAAGACAAUUUAAAAAUGUGACAAAUGAAACAUAAAAAAUAUAUUUAAAAAGCAAGGAAACGUAAACAGAAACUUCACAGUCGUGCUCAUGUGAAAGUGAAUAAAUAAUUGAAUGAACAAUGGAGAUAAUUCACUAUUUCAUCACCUCUCCAUGAUCAAACCACUUGGAUCAAUUAGACUCACUAAUCUCCUCAGCACCCCCCCCCAGCUUGUCCACUUCCACCUUUCUGGCUGGAACACACUCUUCUAUGUCUGUAUUAGAACCUCAUGCCUCCUCUGAGGUCCAGAUCAAACACCAGCUCCCCCAUUCCCAUAACCACUUCCCCAGUGAGAAACAAGGUUGCCUCCACUGAGCCUCCUUGGGAUACAACUGUCUUCACAGCCCUCAGCUCACACUGUCCAGCUUCUUCUGCCUGUGACAUGGCAUCCCUGCUGUAUGGGAGGACCACGCAGGAAAGCCUGUGCCCUACUUGCUACCGUAGCCCCUCAAAGCCCACCACAUUUUUUUGCACAUAGAAAAUGUCUAAUAUUUUUUGAAUGAAUGGGUCAACCAACCACUUACAAAUAGUGGAAAGAAGGGUCCAGCUAACAUAGGAGGAGGUUGGAGAACAGGUGAGUUUUGGAAGCAUGGGAAUCAUGUGACUGAAUUGGAAAUAAAAAGAUCACAUUUUGGGCAGAGAAACAGAAUAAAGUCUCAGGGUAGAAUUUACUGAGGAUGGGGGUAGUACACACAUUUAUCUGCAUGAAAUUUAAAGACCAAAGAUAUAAGUAAUGAAAUCAAAUAAAUCAUGGCACAUCCAUAUCCUAUUAGAUAGUAUACAGCUUGUAAAACCAAUGUAGUAAAACUCUGUACACGGACGUAAAAAUCCAAUAAUGAUGCUGAGUAAGAAAAUAAAGUGUAGAUAUUUAUUUAUCUCUAGAGAGAGAAAAGAGAGAGAAAGAAAGAGAGGGGUCCCAGUUUUGACUGAAAUAAAC